rnacentral:tRNA from 1 species
GGAAAGAUGGUCGAGUUGGUUUAAGGCACCGGUCUUGAAAACCGGCGUAGGUUUACCCCUACCGUGGGUUCGAAUCCCACUCUUUCCGCCA